CUUAAAAUCCUCUCGCAUGUAUCCAUCCCCAAUCGGAACAGAAGCACAAAACCUUCCCCUAGAAGGGACCACAGGGGCGGAAAUGUUCUGUCCUCCUCACUUCCAGGCUAUCCCACAGCUGAACGUGCACAAGGAUGCCACCUCAGGACCUGCUGACUAGUGAGUGAAGCCUCUCCAUCUCCCUAGCUGAACUGCUGGGGACACGCCGGCUUAGCCCUCCAGGACAGUCUUCCCUUUCUAUGUGUUUCUUCCAACUAAGUGUGCCAUCAUCCCUUAGCCGUGUGCCCUUGAGCCUUCACAAUUCCUAACUCUGGGCAGGCAAAUGGCGCAGUCUGGCUGAUCCAACGUCUUUGAAAGAAAAGCUGUAGUCAGAACCGAUGGCAUCUGGGAACCAGACAGACAUGCAAACACCAAUAAUUUGCUGAACCACUUUCCUAAUUUUCUUUGUCUUGGUGGUCUACAAAAAAACUAAGUAAGGUGAAAGGUGGUUGCUGGGACCUGGGGACGCCGCUGACUUCUCUAACAGCUCUUGAUGGGAUAGCUGAGGCUCCUCUCUGCUCACACCCAGCCUGCUGGCUUCUGAUUAGCCCUUAUCUACCCAGCCUCACCUCCACUCCUGACCGCAGCAGCUCUCCAUCUAGAUGGCUAUGUGGCUGUCCCUCCUGUUUACGUUUGCAGUCACAAAAGCCCAAGCCAAGGGAGCAGGUGUUUUGCGGACAUGCCUGUCUAUGCAUCAUGGACGUGCACACCAGUGCAGAGGACAGAAGAGAGCGGACGGGUCUCCUGGAAUCAGAGUUAUGGUGCUAGAAAUCAAACCCAGAACCUUGCAUAAUGCUAGGUACCACUCUACUACCCAGCCACAUCCCAGCAGCCGUUGGUUCUAUCCUUUGCCAACAGGCUUUGAAUGACAAUGGAUCUGUUCCCUCAAACACUGCUAAAGUCACUAAUGAAAUCCCAAGAGAGUCUUGCAGUGACACAGGGUUUGGGAUUCUAAAUGUGGUGGUGGCACACACAGGAGCUCCACUGACCUACAAUCUACCACAGAGAAAUCUGUUCAGAGUUGCCAGGUCAACAGGGAACAGCAGCAUUUACUACUACGAUCUCAAAGGCACUUCCCCUAAGCGGCACCCAUCCCAACUAUCCAGAAUUCUCGCCCUCGGCCCCACCCCCAACAGCAUCUUCUCAUUUUCCACCAAGGACUGAAGUUUUCGCUAGCACCCCAAGACCAUGCUAAAGCAGGCAAGUUGCAUUCCUUAAACCUCCUUCCUUCUGCUCUCCCAAACUACCUGUAACAGCAAAUAUUAUUUAUUUGUUUAUU